CGCGGCCUAUCAGCUUGUUGGUGGGGUAAUGGCCUACCAAGGCUUUGACGGGUAGCCGGUCUGAGAGGGCGACCGGCCACACUGGGACUGAGACACGGCCCAGACUCCUACGGGAGGCAGCAGUGGGGAAUAUUGCACAAUGGGCGGAAGCCUGAUGCAGCGACGCCGCGUGAGGGAUGACGGCCUUCGGGUUGUAAACCUCUUUCAGCAGGGACGAAGCGCAAGUGACUGUACCUGCAGAAGAAGCACCGGCUAACUACGUGCCAGCAGCCGCGGUAAUACGUAGGGUGCGAGCGUUGUCCGGAUUUAUUGGGCGUAAAGAGCUUGUAGGCGGCUCGUCGCGUCGGGUGUGAAAACUCGCGGCUCAACCGCGAGCCUGCACCCGAUACGGGCGGGCUAGAGUUCGGCAGGGGAGACUGGAAUUCCUGGUGUAGCGGUGGAAUGCGCAGAUAUCAGGAGGAACACCGGUGGCGAAGGCGGGUCUCUGGGCCGAUACUGACGCUGAGAAGCGAAAGCGUGGGGAGCGAACAGGAUUAGAUACCCUGGUAGUCCACGCCGUAAACGUUGGGAACUAGGUGUGGGGUCCAUUCCACGGGCUCUGUGCCGCAGCUA
rnacentral:rRNA from 1 species